rnacentral:rRNA from 1 species
AGAGUUUGAUCAUGGCUCAGGAUGAACGCUGGCGGUAUGCUUAACACAUGCAAGUCGAACGGAGUCCUUCGGGACUUAGUGGCGGACGGGUGAGUAACACGUGAGAAUCUGGCUUCAGGUCGGGGACAACAGUGGGAAACCGCUGCUAAUACCGGAUGUGCCCAAGGGUGAAAGAUUUAUCGCCCGAAGAUGAGCUCGCGACUGAUUAGCUAGUUGGUAGGGUAAGAGCCUACCAAGGCCAUGAUCAGUAACUGGUCUGAGAGGAUGACCAGUCACACUGGGACUGAGACACGGCCCAGACUCCUACGGGAGGCAGCAGUGGGGAAUCUUGCACAAUGGGCGAAAGCCUGAUGCAGCGACGCCGCGUGAGGGAUGAAGGCCCUAGGGUUGUAAACCUCUUUCAGCAGGGACGAAGCGAAAGUGACGGUACCUGCAGAAGAAGCCCCGGCUAACUACGUGCCAGCAGCCGCGGUAAUACGUAGGGGGCGAGCGUUGUCCGGAUUUAUUGGGCGUAAAGAGCGCGUAGGUGGUUAGUAAAGUCGGAUGUGAAAGUCCAGGGCUCAACCCUGGGAUGCCAUUCGAUACUUGCAAACUAGAGCACGGUAGGGGGAUCUGGAAUUCCUGGUGUAGCGGUGAAAUGCGCAGAUAUCAGGAGGAACACCGGUGGCGAAGGCGGGAUCCUGGGCCGUUGCUGACACUGAGGCGCGAAAGCUGGGGGAGCGAACAGGAUUAGAUACCCCGGUAGUCC